GACGAACGCUGGCGGCGCGCCUAACACAUGCAAGUCGAACGAGCGAGCCCGACCUUGCUUUCUUGCUCGAGUGGCGAACGGGUGAGUAACGCGUGAGGAACCUGCCUCAAACAGUGGGACAACAGUUGGAAACGACUGCUAAUACCGCAUAAGCCCACGUUGCCCCAUGGCACAGAGGGAAAAGGGGCACUCCGCUUUGUGAUGGCCGCGCGUCCGAUUUGCUAGUUGGUGUGGUAACGGCCCACCAAGGCGACGGUCGGGGGCCGGACGGGGGGGUGGAACGGCAACGUUGGGAAUGAGACACGGACCAGACUCGUACGCGAGGCAGCAGAGGAGAAUAUUGCAGGAGGGGGGAAAACCUGGUGAAGCGACGCGGGGGAGAAGAAGAAGGUGGUCGGAUUGUAAACUCCUGUUGUAGGGGAAGAGAGUGACGGUACCGAACAAGGAAGUGACGGCUAACUACGUG
rnacentral:rRNA from 1 species